GGGGAAAUGGUGUAGUGGCUAUCACAUUCGCUUUGCAUGCGAAAGGCCCCGGGUUCAAACCCCGGUUUCUCCA
rfam:Mucor circinelloides f. circinelloides 1006PhL unplaced genomic scaffold supercont1.86, whole genome shotgun sequence.